rnacentral:rRNA from 1 species
CCCUUAGAUGUUCUGGGCCGCACGCGCGCUACACUGUUCGACGCAGCGAGUCUUAACCUUGACCGAAAGGUUUGGGUAAUCUUCAGCAAAGUCGAACGUGAUGGGGAUCGAUCAUUGCAAUUAUUGAUCGUGAACGAGGAAUUCCUAGUAAGUGCAAGUCAUCAGCUUGCGCUGAUUACGUCCCUGCCCUUUGUACACACCGCCCGUCGCUACUACCGAUUGAAUGGUUUAGUGAGAUCUCUGGAUUGACGCCGGCUAGGGGGCGACCCUUGGCCAGACUGCUCGAGAAACUGCUCAAACUUGAUCAUUUAGAGGAAGUAAAAGUCGUAACA